rnacentral:pre_miRNA from 1 species
ACAACAUUCGGACCGUCGAGCAUAUCACCGAGCAAUAUCACGCGCUCGGUGGAAGAUCUUCCCUUUGUCGU